AGUGAACGCUGGCGGUAGGCCUAACACAUGCAAGUCGAACGGCAGCACAGUAAGAGCUUGCUCUUACGGGUGGCGAGUGGCGGACGGGUGAGGAAUACAUCGGAAUCUACUUUUUCGUGGGGGAGAACGUAGGGAAACUUACGCUAAUACCGCAUACGACCUACGGGUGAAAGCAGGGGAUCUUCGGACCUUGCGCGAUUGAAUGAGCCGAUGUCGGAGUAGCUAGUGGGCGGGGUAAAGGCCCACAAAGGCGACGAUCCGUAUCUGGUCUGAGAGGAUGAUCAGCCACACUGGAACUGAGACACGGUCCAGACUCCUACGGGAGGCAGCAGUGGGGAAUAUUGGACAAGGGGCGCAAGCCUGAUCCAGCCAUACCGCGUGGGUGAAGAAGGCCUUCGGGUUGUAAAGCCCUUUUGUUGGGAAAGAAAAGCAGCAGGUUAAUACCCCGCUGUUCUGACGGUACCCAAAGAAUAAGCACCGGCUAACUUCGUG
rnacentral:rRNA from 1 species